rnacentral:rRNA from 1 species
GAAUCCCGUCUUUGGCAUGGAUGACCGGGGCUUUUGUGAUGCGCUCUCGAAGAGUCGAGUUGUUUGGGAAUGCAGCUCAAAAUGGGUGGUGAACUCCAUCUAAAGCUAAAUAUUGGCGAGAGACCGAUAGCGAACAAGUACCGUGAGGGAAAGAUGAAAAGAACUUUGGAAAGAGAGUUAAACAGUACGUGAAAUUGCUGAAAGGGAAACGCUUGAAGUCAGUCGCGUCAGCUGGAAAUCAACCCUGCUUUUGCUGGGCGCACUUUCCUGUCUGACGGGUCAGCAUCAGUUCUGGUCGCUGGAUAAAGCCCUUGGGAACGUGGCAUCCUUUGGAUGUGUUAUAGCCCACUGGCGCAUGCAGCGGCUGGGAUUGAGGAACUCAGCACGGCCCUUGCGAGAGGGCGAUUGGAGGGAGACCUCACAACUUACGUGCUUAGGAUGCUGGCAUAAUGGCUUUAAUCGACCCGUCUUGAAACACGGACCAAGGAGUCUAACAUGCCUGCGAGUGUUUGGGUGGUGAAAACUCAUGCGCGCAAUGAAAGUGAUGGUUGAGAUCCCUGUCAUGGGGAGCAUCGACGCCCAGACCAGACCUUUUGCGACGGAUCUGCGGUAGAGCAUGCAUGUUGGGACCCGAAAGAUGGUGAACUAUGCCUGAAUAGGGUGAAGCCAGAGGAAACUCUGGUGGAGGCUCGUAGCGAUUCUGACGUGCAAAUCGAUCGUCAAAUUUGGGUAUAGGGGCGAAAGACUAAUCGAACCAUCUAGUAGCUGGUUCCUGCC